rnacentral:sRNA from 1 species
AAAAAAUACUCUCAUUCAAAUUACAAACAUCUCAGUCUAAACCUUUAAUUGAUUAGAUAAACAGGUAUUGCAAAACGACACAACAAACAAAGGGAAAUCUCUCAUUGUAUGCAAUAUCAUGAACAAUAUUUGCCGUUGUUACAAGUCGGCAAAUAUGUUUAAUAAUUAAGAUUGAGAGAUUUCUCCUCCCAACGGAGAUAUAUUUAUUCUGACUGACCUAACAGUUUCCCAAAGAUAUAUACAUAACAUUUUUUCGAUAAAAGUGCUUUUAAGGAUUUCUUGAUGUGAUUUUAUGGUUACAAAUAUGUGUGUUCGAGUUAUUAUUUUUAUUUAUUAGAAAAUAUUCGUAUACAUGUUUAUGUCCCAUUUUAAUUGUUUGUGAAUGUUAUGGAUGCAUUGUUUAAACAAGUGUAUCAAUUAGAUACACCAGGCGCAUUCAUAAAUGCACCUGGGCAUAUUAUAAGAUUUUUUGUUAAUAAAUUUUAACUGC